rnacentral:rRNA from 1 species
UGGGGAAUAUUGCACAAUGGGGGAAACCCUGAUGCAGCAACGCCGCGUGAGUGAUGACGGCCUUCGGGUUGUAAAGCUCUGUCUUCAGGGACGAUAAUGACGGUACCUGAGGAGGAAGCCACGGCUAACUACGUGCCAGCAGCCGCGGUAAUACGUAGGUGGCAAGCGUUGUCCGGAUUUACUGGGCGUAAAGGGAGCGUAGGCGGACUUUUAAGUGAGAUGUGAAAUACCCGGGCUCAACCUGGGUGCUGCAUUUCAAACUGGAAGUCUAGAGUGCAGGAGAGGAGAGUGGAAUUCCUAGUGUAGCGGUGAAAUGCGUAGAGAUUAGGAAGAACACCAGGGGCGAAGGCGACUCUCUGGACUGUAACUGACGCUGAGGCUCGAAAGCGUGGGGAGCAAACA